UAUAAUGGAGGCAGCUAGCAUUAUGUUUGUACCUAGACUGAUGAUAAUUGAUGUUUUAUCAAAAGGGAGUUUGACGAAAGUGAAGCAUUCAGGCAACAUGUGAAGUGUCUGUGUUAUUGAUAAGGCUUUGUUAUUUUAAUUAUAUAGAACUUCUUUUUUACUUAUUUGGUUGUCAUGUACACUUGUGGUGAUGGGUUUGUUUUACCCCAAACUACAUGUUUUAGAGUCAACAUGUGAAUUACUUCUUACUCAACCACAUUCAAUGAUCGACAUUUCUCUCCUUGAUAUGCGUGCUCACCAUUUUGGGUUCAAACAAUAUGAAGCAGGGAAGUAUAUUCUCAAAUUCCCUCGUGUUUUAAGGAUAUUGCAAAGGAUCGAGAUCCAACAUCAAAUGAACUAUAUUUGCAUGUCCAUACACAUUGUCACGAUGAAAAAUCAUUAGUUGAUGACGAGCUCGAGUUGCACAUGUACACGAUUUUGAUCCAAUUGAUGACACUCUAUUUUUCAAUAGAAGUCUUUAUGAAUUAAAUCUCAUGAAAGAAGAAGAUG